rnacentral:rRNA from 1 species
AGACUCCUACGGGAGGCAGCAGUGGGGAAUCUUGGACAAUGGGCGAAAGCCUGAUCCAGCAAUGCCGCGUGUGUGAAGAAGGCCUUCGGGUUGUAAAGCACUUUUGUCCGGAAAGAAAUCCUUGGCUCUAAUACAGUCGGGGGAUGACGGUACCGGAGGAAUAAGCACCGGCUAACUACGUGCCAGCAGCCGCGGUAAUACGUAGGGUGCGAGCGUUAAUCGGAAUUACUGGGCGUAAAGCGUGCGCAGGCGGUUUGCUAAGACCGAUGUGAAAUCCCCGGGCUCAACCUGGGAACUGCAUUGGUGACUGGCAGGCUAGAGUAUGGCAGAGGGGGGUAGAAUUCCACGUGUAGCAGUGAAAUGCGUAGAGAUGUGGAGGAAUACCGAUGGCGAAGGCAGCCCCCUGGGCCAAUACUGACGCUCAUGCGCGAAAGCGUGGGGAGCAAGCAGGAUUAGAUACCCUGGUAGUCCACGCCCUAAACGAUGUCAACUAGUUGUUGGGGAUUCAUUUCCUUAGUAACGUAGCUAACGCGUGAAGUGACCG